rnacentral:rRNA from 1 species
UACGUAGGUGGCAAGCGUUGUCCGGAUUUAUUGGGCGUAAAGCGAGUGCAGGCGGCUCGAUAAGUCUGAUGUGAAAGCCUUCGGCUCAACCGGAGAAUUGCAUCAGAAACUGUCGAGCUUGAGUACAGAAGAGGAGAGUGGAACUCCAUGUGUAGCGGUGAAAUGCGUAGAUAUAUGGAAGAACACCGGUGGCGAAGGCGGCUCUCUGGUCUGUUACUGACGCUGAGGCUCGAAAGCAUGGGUAGCGAACAGGAUUAGAUACCCUGGUAGUC